UACGAAGGGGGCUAGCGUUGCUCGGAAUUACUGGGCGUAAAGCGCACGUAGGCGGCUUCUUAAGUCGGUGGUGAAAAUCCUGGAGCUCAACUCCAGAAUUGCCUUCGAUACUGGCUUUCUAGAGGCUGGAAGAGGUUAGUGGAAUUCCCAGUGUAGAGGUGAAAUUCGUAGAUAUUGGGAAGAACACCAGCGGCGAAGGCGGCUAACUGGUCCAGAUCUGACGCUGAGGUGCGAAAGCGUGGGGAGCAAACAGG
rnacentral:rRNA from 1 species